rnacentral:ncRNA from 1 species
CAAAGGUUUGGUCCUGGCCUUUCCAACAACUCUAGCUUAACUUACACAUGCAAGUAUCCGCACCCCUGUGAGAAUGCCCCACAGUUCCCCGACCGGGAACAAGGAGCCGGUAUCAGGCACACUCCCAUUAGCCCAUGACACCUUGCUCAGCCACACCCUCAAGGGAAUUCAGCAGUGAUAAACAUUAAGCCAUAAGUGAAAACUUGACUUAGUCAAAGCUAAGAGGGCCGGUAAAACUCGUGCCAGCCACCGCGGUUAUACGAGAGGCCCGAGUUGUUAGACUUCGGCGUAAAGCGUGGUUAAGACUCCUAAACACUAAAGCCAAACACCUUUCCCACUGUUAUACGUUCACGAAGGUAGGAAGCCCAAUCACGAAAGUAGCUUUACAACAUCUGAACCCACGAAAGCUAGGGUACAAACUGGGAUUAGAUACCCCACUAUGCCUAGCCGUAAACAUAGACAGUUCAUAUACCUAACUGUCCGCCCGGGAACUACGAGCAUUAGCUUAAAACCCAAAGGACUUGGCGGUGCUUUAAACCCCCCUAGAGGAGCCUGUUCUAGAACCGAUAAUCCCCGUUCAACCUCACCCUUCCUUGUUCUUUCCGCCUAUAUACCACCGUCGUCAGUUUACCCUGUGAAGGUACAACAGUAAGCACAAUCGGCACAGCCCAAAACGCCAGGUCGAGGUGUAGCGUAUGGAAGGGGAAGAAAUGGGCUACAUUCCUUAUCAUUAAGGCAUACGGAUGAUAUGUUGAAACACAUAACUGAAGGAGGAUUUAGCAGUAAGCAGGAAGUAGAGUGUCCCGCUGAAACCGGCUCUGAAGCGCGCACACACCGCCCGUCACUCUCCCCGAGCUAAGAUUUGUCAUUUAACUAAAACCUUAUAACUGUAAAGGGGAGGCAAGUCGUAACAUGGUAAGUGUACCGGAAGGUGCACUUGGAAUAAACAUAC